GGGAUUGUGGCUCAGUGGUAGAGUGCUUGCCUAGCAAGUGUGAGCAAGGAAGGCCCUGGGUUCAAUCCUCAGCACCA
rnacentral:tRNA from 1 species